rnacentral:rRNA from 1 species
CCUACGGGAGGCAGCAGUGGGGAAUAUUGGGCAAUGGAGGCAACUCUGACCCAGCAACGCCGCGUGAAUGAUGAAGGUCUUCGGAUUGUAAAGUUCUGUGAUGGGGGAUGAACACAAUGACGGUACCCCAAUAGCAAGCCACGGCUAACUACGUGCCAGCAGCCGCGGUCAUACGUAGGAUCCGAGCAUUAUCCGGAGUGACUGGGUGUAAAGAGUUGCGUAGGUGGCAUAAUAAGUAGCUAGUGAAAUCUGGUGGCUCAACCAUUCAGACUAUUAGCUAAACUGUUAAGCUCGAGACCGUUAGGGGUAACUGGAAUUUCUAGUGUAGGAGUGAAAACCGUAGAUAUUAGAAGGAACACCAAUAGCGUAGGCAGGUUGCUGGGACGGUUCUGACACUAAGGCACGAAAGCGUAGGGAGCAAACGGGAUUAGAUACCCCUGUAGUC